rnacentral:rRNA from 1 species
CCCUUAGAUGUUCUGGGCCGCACGCGCGCUACACUGAUGCAUUCAACAAGCCUAGCCUUGACCGAGAGGUCCGGGUAAUCUUUGAAACUGCAUCGUGAUGGGGCUAGAUUAUUGCAAUUAUUAAUCUUCAACGAGGAAUGCCUAGUAAGCGUGAUUCAUCAAAUCGCGUUGAUUACGUCCCUGCCCUUUGUACACACCGCCCGCCGCUCCUACCGAUUGAAUGUGUUGGUGAGGAGCUCGGAUUGGCAGCAGUUGGUGGUUCGCCACCGGCUAUUGCUGAGAAGUCCUCCAAACCGCCCCAUUUAGAGGAAGGAGAAGUCGUAACA